rnacentral:rRNA from 1 species
AGCAGCCGCGGUAAUUCCAGCUCCAAUAGCGUAUAUUAAAGUUGUUGCAGUUAAAAAGCUCGUAGUUGAAUUUCGGGGUUUAUCCGUUGGUCGGGCUUUUGGGUCUGUACUGGCGUGAUGGAUUCCUACCUUCUGAAUAACCAGCAUGUCAUUAAUUUGGUGCGUUGGGGAAGCAGGACUGUUACCUUGAAAAAAUUAGAGUGCUUAAAGCAGGCUAUUGCCCGAAUACAUUAGCAUGGAAUAAUGAAAUAGGACGCAUGGUUCUAUUUUGUUGGUUUCUAGGAUCACCGUAAUGAUUAAUAGGGAUAGUUGGGGGCAUUAGUAUUCAAUUGUCAGAGGUGAAAUUCUUGGAUUUAUUGAAGACUAACUUCUGCGAAAGCAUUUGCCAAGGAUGUUUUCAUUAAUCAAGAACGAAAGUUAGGGGAUCGAAGACGAUCAGAUACCGUCGUAGUCUUAACCAUAAACUAUGCCGACUAGGGAUCGGACGAUGUUAAUUUUUAAUGACUCGUUCGGCGCCUUA